rnacentral:rRNA from 1 species
AAUGGACGCUGGCGGCGUGCCUAACACAUGCAAGUCGAGCGCGAAAGUAACUUCGGUUACGAGUAGAGCGGCGAACGGGUGAGUAACACGUGGAUAACCUACCCUGGUGUGGGGGAUAACUCGAGGAAACUUGAGCUAAUACCGCAUACGACCUCAGGCUGCAGGGCCUGAGGGGAAAGACGGCCUCUUCUUGAAAGCCGACGCAUUAGGAGGGAUCCGCGGCCGAUUAGCUAGUUGGUGGGGUAAUGGCCCACCAAGGCGACGAUCGGUAGCUGGCCUGAGAGGGUGAUCAGCCACACUGGAACUGAGACACGGUCCAG